rnacentral:rRNA from 1 species
AGUGAACGCUGGCGGUAGGCCUAACACAUGCAAGUCGAACGGCAGCACAGUAAGAGCUUGCUCUUACGGGUGUCGAGUGGCGGACGGGUGAGGAAUACAUCGGAAUCUACUUUUUCGUGGGGGAUAACGUAGGGAAACUUACGCUAAUACCGCAUACGACCUACGGGUGAAAGCAGGGGAUCUUCGGACCUUGCGCGAUUGAAUGAGCCGAUGUCGGAUUAGCUAGUUGGCGGGGUAAAGGCCCACCAAGGCGACGAUCCGUAGCUGGUCUGAGAGGAUGAUCAGCCACACUGGAACUGAGACACGGUCCAGACUCCUACGGGAGGCAGCAGUGGGGAAUAUUGGACAAAGGGCGCAAGCCUGAUCCAGCCAUACCGCGUGGGUGAAGAAGGCCUUCGGGUUGUAAAGCCCUUUUGUUGGGAAAGAAAAGCAGCAGGUUAAUACCCCGCUGUUCUGACGGUACCCAAAGAAUAAGCACCGGCUAACUUCGUG